GAUCUGCACAAAUGGUUCCUCUCCUC
rnacentral:piRNA from 1 species